rnacentral:rRNA from 1 species
GAAGCUACGAUAGAUCGCUGGGAGUCGUCGCAGGCUGACUCAAGGAUGACGGGGCCGCACAGCGUGAGCAUUGUUCAAUCGACGCAACGCGAAGACUUUACCCAGGCUCGACGGCAAGUGACAUCCGGCGAAAGCCGGCUCCCGCAAGGGCAGUUGCCGAGGUGCUGCGUGGCUGUCGUCAGCUCGUGUCGUGAGAUGUUGGGUUAAGUCCCGCAACCGGAGGGCGGCAAAAACCCCUUUUUGUCCGCUGUUGCCAUCAGGUUAAGCUGGGCACUCUGCGGAGACUGCCGGUGAUAAACCGGAGGAAGGUGGGGAUGACGUCAAGUCAGCAUGGCCUUUAUGUCUGGGGCUACACACGUGCUACAAUGGCAGAUACAAACCGUCGCGAGACCGCAAGGUGGAGCUAAUCGGAGAAAGUCUGUCUCAGUUCGGAUUGCAGGCUGCAACUCGCCUGCAUGAAGUUGGAAUCGCUAGUAAUCGCGGAUCAGCACGCCGCGGUGAAUACGUUCCCGGGCCUUGUACACACCGCCCGUCACAUCACGAAAGCUGGCUGUACUAGAAGUCGCCGCGCUAACCCGCAAGGGAGGCAAGCGCCUAAGGUAUGGUUAGUGAUUGGGGUGAAGUCGUAACAAGGUA